UACGUAGGGGCUAGCGUUGUCCGGAAUCAUUGGGCGUAAAGGGCGCGUAGGCGGCCUGGCAAGUGGAAGGUGAAAUCCCUCGGCUUAACCGAGGAACUGCCUCCCAAACUGCUUGGCUUGAGACCAGGAGAGGUGAGUGGAAUUCCCAGUGUAGCGGUGGAAUGCGUAGAGAUCCGGAAGAACACCGAUGGCGAAGGCAGGUCUCUGGGCCAUAACUGACGCUGAGAAGCGAAAGCAUGGGGAGCGAACAGG
rnacentral:rRNA from 1 species